CCCUUAGAUGUCCUGGGCUGCACGCGCGCUACACUGGAAGUUACGGAUUGAGAUACUACCUUGUCCGAAAUGGUCCGGGUAAUCACCUAAAAGCUUGUCAUAAUUGGAAUGGAUUAUUGUAACUAGUAAUCCUGAACGAGGAAUUCCUAGUAAGUCCCAGUCAACAGCUGGUACUGAUUACGUCCCUGCCCUUUGUACACACCGCCCGUCGCUACUACUGAUUGGACGUUUAAGCAAGAUUUUUAAACACUGACAGUGUGUAGUUCACGCUAUACUACAGUGAGAAGACGAAGAUCGAGCUUACUUGUCUAGAGGAAGUAAAAGUCGUAACA
rnacentral:rRNA from 1 species